GUUCUUCUUCAUUUUUUGGAUUGUCCACCCUCCCUCCUCCCUCCCCGUUGCUUCAAAUUUUACAAAGAUUUCAACUUUCUUUGUAAAUACCUCUUUCGGAGUUUUGGGUAUUUGUUAUAUCAUCCAAAUAUUAAAAUCUGUUGAUUUUCUAUCCAAAAACCAUAGUAAUGAAUGGCAGCAAGAAUCUCCAUUAAACACUUAAUCCCAUUCACAACCCCUUCUCAUUUAUCAAAACGAUCGCUAUUCUCUUCGUAUUCAGCUUCUCAUCAAUCCAAAGCUUUAGACUUUCUGGAUUCUUGUAAAAGCUUAGCUCAGCUCUUUCAAAUCCAAGCUCAUUUGAUAAUAACUGGUCUUUUACAAGUACAGAACCCUUCAUUUUCUUGCAGAUUUUUGAAUCUCUGUACUCAACAUUGUGAUGUUGAAUAUACUUCUUUGGUAUUUAAAUGCAUUGAUUUUCCUGAUACCUUUUCUGUUAAUACUGUUAUAAAAGCUUAUGCUUGUAGUUCUGUUCCACAUAAUGCUGUUGUGUUCUAUUUCGAAAGGCUUAAAAAUGGGUUCUUGCCUAAUAGUUUUACGUUCCCGCCCCUCAUGAGUUCUUGUGCUAAAGCGGGUAAUUUGGAUUUGGGUCAGAAGUGUCAUGGACAAUUAGUGAAAAAUGGUGUUGAUGGAGUUUUGCAUGUUCAGAAUUCUUUGGUGCAUUGUUAUAGUUGUUGUGGGUUUAUUGGUCUUGCUAAACAGGUGUUUGAUGAAAUGCCGCAGAGGGAUGCUGUGUCUUGGAACAGCAUUGUGAAUGGAUAUGUAAAAAUGGGUGAAUUAGUGGCUGCGGGGCAGUUGUUUGAUGCAAUGCCACGGAGGAAUUUAGUUGGGUGGAAUGUCAUGAUGAAUGGGUAUUUGGAGUCGAAUAACCCUGGGAAGUGCCUAAAGUUGUUCCGAGAAAUGGCACAGAGGGGAUUGAAUGGGAAUGAUGCAACUGUAGCUAUUGUGCUUACUGCUUGUGCUCGGUCAGCUCGGAUGAAAGAAGGAAAAUCUGUUCACGGGUCUCUUAUUAAGGUAUCUAAAGAUUUGAAUUUGAUUACUAGUACGACCUUAAUCCAUAUGUAUAGUAGAUGCGGAAGAGCAGAAAUUGCUCGUUUAAUUUUUGAUCGGAUUUCGGUCAAGAACAUAGUCUGCUGGAAUGCAAUGAUUUUGGGGUUUUGCAUUCAUGGGAACCCAAAAGAUGGGCUUAAUCUGUAUGCAGACUUGCUGAGCAGUAGAUUAGAAGGUACAGAAAAGGAUCAUGUUAAGAACAUGAAGCAAGGUGACGGGGAUCGUGUGCUGCCAGAUGAAAUCACAUUUGUGGGUGUCUUAUGCGCUUGUGCCCGUGAAGGACUGUUAACAGAAGCAAGAACACACUUUGGCGACAUGAGUGAUUUGUUUGGUAUAAAGCCCAAUUUUUUACAUUAUUGGUGCAUGGCUAAUCUUCUGGCAAAUAUUGGCCUCAUGCAAGAGGCAAUAAAAACAAUGAAGGACAUACCAGCGGAGAGCAAUUUACCACUGGAAUCCUCAUUGUGGUCUGAAUUACUUGUCUCAGCCCGCUUUAAAGGGGAUGUAAUUUUAGGAGAACAAAUUGCAAAUAAGUUGAUUGAGGAAGAUCCCAAGAAUUUUAGGCAUUAUUUGUUGCUUGUCAACAUAUAUGCUGCAGCAGGUCGUUGGGAUGAAGUAGCUCAGACAAAGAAGAGGAUGAAGAAGAGAGGAAUAGAAAGAAUACCAGGUUGCAGUUUAAAAGACUUGAAGGAAAUUGUUGACAACAUGACAGAGACAUAAACUACAGGUAUUGAAACCUUUUUUUUGUGGUACAUUUUCCAAGUCGCCAGUGUUUCUACGAACACGCGCAUAUCUGUCUGUACUUCUUUGAUACUUUGGGCGCUAACAUUGAAGAGCUUUAGAAUGAGUGACAUGCAGCUUCGGUGGAAGCUGUUGAUGGAUUUAAGGCAUAACUCCUCGAAACUGUCCUUACAUCAGAAGGAGCUUUGUAAAAGCUAAAUAUCAUGGAUCCUGCUUACUAUUUGUUUCUUCUCAGGGAGGCUUUACUGAUGAUUUCUUUACACACUUAAUGUCUAGUGCUGUGCCCUUGUCUGAGAAUGACUUAUAGUAGAGAUAUGUGGCACUCAUGGUAUGCUUUGCUGGUAUGAAGGCUGGAAAUGACCUCUGCACCCUCUCAAUGCAUGAAAUCCUAAUAAACCAGAAUUGGCCCUAAAUAAUUAUUAUACAUACUAUUCUAGGUCCAGCUGAGAUGGUAGAUGAUGUAACUGGUAGAUUGAAGCUUUUAUAGAGGCAGUCGCCUUGCUCUCUUUUUGACUUUGAGAGGUUAUAAAGCUUUCAAGAUCCUGAGCUAGCGUGGGCAAGAAAACAUCAUAGCAGGAAUCUGGGCAUUUCGGCUGCUACCACGUUCUUGUUGCUGCUGAUGAUGAAACUUGCAGCUCCUCUUUAAGUUGCAUAACAUAUUAUUGCACUGAAUGUCCUUAGUUUGACAACAGCACAGCAAAAGAUGGGUCAUUAAUUUCUUUUAAUAAUAAGUCAGAAAUGGGUCAUUCAUUUAUAGUGUAUUAGUGAGUUACACGGAUGACUGAUUAUUGUUGUACAGUCACAUCUCUCUAUAUCGUUUAUUCCGAAUAUUAUUGGAUGUUAUAGCGAAUUGCUGAUAUAGAAACAUAUAUCAUUAUAGAACAUGAGAUUUGGUUCCGGAAAAAUUUGGUUUUUAUAAAGAAGUGUUAUUAUAUAA